rnacentral:rRNA from 1 species
CCUACGGGAGGCAGCAGUGGGGGAUCUUGCACAAUGGGGGGAACCCUGAUGCAGCGACGCCGCGUGGGUGAAGGAGCGUUUCGGCGCGUAAAGCUCUAUCGGCAGGGAAGAAGGGGGACGGUACCUGACUAAGAAGACUCGGCUAACGACGUGCAAGCAGCCGCGGUAAUCCGUAGGGGGCAAGCGCUAGCCGGAUUGACGGGGCGUAAAGUGGGCGCAGACGGGAGCGCAAGCCAGGUGUGAAAGCCCAGGGCCCAACCCCGGGACUGUUCUUGGAACUGGCCGGCUGGAGUGCAGGAGGGGCAGGCGGAAUUCCUGGUGUAGCAGUGAAAUGCGUAGAUAUCAGGAGGAGCACCAGUGGCGAAGGCGGCCUGCUGGACUGCGACUGACGUUGAGGCCCGAAAGCGUGGGGAGCAAACAGGAUUAGAUACCCCGGUAGUC